rnacentral:lncRNA from 1 species
CGACAUUUCUGUAUUGUGUGAACACAUCCUUUUGUAUUUUUAUUACCUUCUAUUUCUGAAACUGAAAUGUUUUGUUUAUUCAAUAAAUUAUUUUGCUGUGCCUCACAUGAAUGAGAAUUGUGGUGGUUUUACUGUUCUAGGCAGCUAAACACCACAACUGCUCUCUCACUCCCCCUCCCUAGAUGAAGAAGUAAAGAACUCAUAGGUUGAGAUAAGGAUAGUUUAAUUAAGAUCUAUUACAAAAACAAAACAAACAAACAAACAUCCAUAAGAGUUCUAGUACAGAAACCAAAAACCCAAACAAGGUUGAUUACUGGCAUUCUGACGCAAUGCAGGAUUACUGCUGCCCCAAGCUUCUAAAGUUCUUUUUGUCAUCAGGCCUGCACCCAACACAAUUUGUCAAGCUUUGAGACACAUUGAAACACAUCAAUUAAAAAUUUAAUUUCCUUAUUCAAAAGUAUUAAUUAAAACAUCCUGCAGGAAGCCAGUUUAUAUGUUUUGCACUUAAGAUUGCAUUCUGAUUGAGGUGAAAGGUGAAUUUACACAUUGAAAAUCUGGUUGCUUCUUUUAUUUUUUUCUUUUCUUUUAUUUAUUUAUUUAUUUUUAAUGAUAGCAAAGAACCGAAUGCAGUGAUCCCUUUAGGGAUGCAGGGAUCUCUUUAGGUCUGCUUUUCUGCCUUCAUUUCCAAUACCAGAGGAAUAAUGCAUUUUCAGUGCCAGAAGAGAAACAGGAGAUGAGGAUUUUACAGGGGAACUGUCAGUUAAACAAGUUUUACACAGCUGUUCUCUCAUCUUCAGAUCAAGAAUGGAAAUUCUGAUAUUCUGUCUGCUGUAAUCAGAAAUUGCUGCUCAGGCAAGGAAGACCAGCUUGGAUGUAUUAUGCUGCAGUGAACUUGCAAAAUAAUUGAAAUCCGUAUCCAUGAACUGGGAAUCUAGAAUAUCUAUUCAUAUUCACCCUCCUUCUGAUUUGACUUAAUUUGACACAAAAACUAUAUGGCAUAGUGGGGUCUAUGUGCUGUAUCAAUUCAUUAUGUUUUGUCACUAAAUACUAAUUUGUCAUGGGUACUACUGACAUCUAAAUUAUUGUGUUUUUGUUUUCUCUAUCGUUAUUAUCUAAAAUAAUUCAUAUUGCACUUACCUGAAGCAAAUUUCAACCCAGAAUAUUUCAUCUUCUUUCCUUUUGUGCAUAUUUUGCUUCCUUUCCUCCAACUAUGAAUUAGUAACUUUAUCUGAAAAAUAUAUCUGUAGUGAAAUAGUUAUAUGCAUAUAUAAUUGCAUAUCCAAAUAGCAAAAUACUAUUGUCAGUAUUUUAACACAUGGAACCACUCUCCAUU